rnacentral:rRNA from 1 species
AGUGAACGCUGGCGGCGUGCCUAAUACAUGCAAGUCGAACGGAGUGGCGCACGGGUGAGUAAUGUAUAGCUAAUCAGCCCUACAAUAGAGGACAACAGUUGGAAAAGACGGCUAAUACUCUAUAGUGUAGGAUGAGGCUAUAUUGUAUCAGUUAGUUGGUGAGGUAAUGGCUCACUAAGGCUAUGACGCAUAACUGGUCUGAGAGGAUGAUCAGUCACACUGGAACUGAGACACGGUUCGGACUCCUACGGGAGGCAGCAGUAGGGUAUAUUACUCAAUGGGGGAAACCCUGAAGCAGCAUCGCCGCGUGGAGGAUGACACUUGUCGGAGCAUAAACUCCUUUUGUUAGGGAAGCGGUACCUAACGAAUAAGCACCGGCUAACUCCGUGCCAGCCGCCGCGGUAAUAC